GGGCUCCUAGAUGCUGAGGUUAGGAUUGGGGAAGGGGCUCCAAGAUGCUGAGGUUAGGAUUGGGGAAGGGGCUCCUAGAUGCUGAGGUUAGGAUUGGGGAAGGGGCUCCUAGAUGCUGAGGUUAGGAUUGGGGAAGGGGCUCCUAGAUGCUGAGGUUAGGAUUGGGGAAGGGGCUCCUAGAUGCUGAGGUUAGGAUUGGGGAAGGGGCUCCUAGAUGCUGAGGUUAGGAUUGGGGAAGGGGCUCCUAGAUGCUGAGGUUAGGAUUGGGGAAGGGGCUCCAAGAUGCUGAGGUUAGGAUUGGGGAAGGGGCUCCUAGAUGCUGAGGUUAGGAUUGGGGAAGGGGCUCCUAGAUGCUGAGGUUAGGAUUGGGGAAGGGGCUCCUAGAUGCUGAGGUUAGGAUUGGGGAAGGGGCUCCUAGAUGCUGAGGUUAGGAUUGGGGAAGGGGCUCCUAGAUGCUGAGGUUAGGAUUGGGGAAGGGGCUCCUAGAUGCUGAGGUUAGGAUUGGGGAAGGGGCUCCAAGAUGCUGAGGUUAGGAUUGGGGAGGGGGCUCCUAGAUGCUGAGGUUAGGAUUGGGGAGGGGGCUCCUAGAUGCUGAGGUUAGGAUUGGGGAGGGGGCUCCUAGAUGCUGAGGUUAGGAUUGGGGAAGGGGCUCCUAGAUGCUGAGGUUAGGAUCUGGGAAGGGGCUCCUAGAUGCUGAGGUUAGG